GAUGAACGCUGGCGGCGUGCCUAAUACAUGCAAGUCGAGCGAACAGACGAGGAGCUUGCUCCUCUGACGUUAGCGGCGGACGGGUGAGUAACACGUGGAUAACCUACCUAUAAGACUGGGAUAACUUCGGGAAACCGGAGCUAAUACCGGAUAAUAUAUUGAACCGCAUGGUUCAAUAGUGAAAGACGCUUUUGCUUUCACUUAUAGAUGGAUCCGCGCCGCAUUAGCUAGUUGGUAAGGUAACGGCUUACCAAGGCAACGAUGCGUAGCCGACCUGAGAGGGUGAUCGGCCACACUGGAACUGAGACACGGUCCAGACUCCUACGGGAGGAAGCAGUAGGGAAUCUUCCGCAAUGGGCGAAAGCCUGACGGAGCAACGCCGCGUGAGUGAUGAAGGUCUUCGGAUCGUAAAACUAUGUUAUUAGGGAAGAACAAAUGUGUAAGUAACUAUGCACGUCUUGACGGUACCUAAUCAGAAAGCCACGGCUAACUACGUG
rnacentral:rRNA from 1 species